AUGAGAUUGAGUUCCACGCAUAUGCAAGCUAGAAAGAUGCUAUUUGCUGCUAUUCCAUCUAUUUGUGCAUUAAGUUCGAAUAAGAUAUCAAUCUAUAAUGAAGAAAUGAUAGUAGCUCGUUGUUUUAUAGGCUUCAUCAUAUUCAGUCGGAAGAGUUUAGGUAAUACUUUCAAAGUAACUCUCGACGGGAGAAUCCAGGCUAUUCAGGAAGAAUCGCAGCAAUUCCCCAAUCCUAACAAAGUAGUUCCUCCGGAAUCUAAUGAACAACAACGAUUACUUAGGAUCAGUUUUGAAUUUGUGGCACCGUAG
rnacentral:lncRNA from 1 species